rnacentral:rRNA from 1 species
AUUGAACGCUGGCGGCAUGCUUUACACAUGCAAGUCGAACGGUAACAGGCCGCAAGGUGCUGACGAGUGGCGAACGGGUGAGUAAUGCAUCGGAACGUGCCCAGUCGUGGGGGAUAACGCAGCGAAAGCUGCGCUAAUACCGCAUACGAUCUAUGGAUGAAAGCGGGGGACGGGAAGGCGUCGCGACAUUGGAGCGGCCGAUGUCCGAUUAGGUAGUAGGUGGGGUAAAGGCUCACCAAGCCAACGAUCUGUAGCUGGUCUGAGAGGACGACCAGCCACACUGGGACUGAGACACGGCCCAGAGUCCUACGGGAGGCAGCAGUGGGGAAUUUUGGACAAUGGGCGCAAGCCUGAUCCAGCAAUGCCGCGUGCAGGAAGAAGGCCUUCGGGUUGUAAACUGCUUUUGUACGGAACGAAACGGUCCUGGUUAAUACCCGGGGCUAAUGACGGUACCGUAAGAAUAAGCACCGGCUAACUACGUGCCAGCAGCCGCGGUAACAC